rnacentral:lncRNA from 1 species
GUUUUUAAUAUAUUUAUUUGAAAACAAGGUUCUGUGAAAGAGUACACUAAAUAGCAUAUAUCUGUUCUUCAACCAUAAAACACGGACUAUCAGCUUUAGCUCAGCACAGAUUGGGGCUGCAUGCACUGAACAGCAGAUCUCCAUAGGAAGGUCUUCUCAUCUGUCUUUCUGAUAUCAAGCAUAGUGUCUUCUUCAGAGGAUGUGAUCCUUGUGUCUUAAUCAUCAAUGUACUCAAAGGGCUCUGGUGGUUCAGGUUCCUGCUCCUCUUCUUCGAUCUUCGGACCAUGAGCUGCCACAGGUUCAACCAGCUCCUCCAUAUCCUCACUGGUGUCCUUCAGAAUGAUGAUGCCUCCAAUGGAGAGUGGUUUGAAAGGCUGAUACCGGCAGCUCUCUGUCAUAGUAAGAACUUUGAGCUGAGCAGGCAUGACUCUUGCUGGGUUGUCCAAAAGCUGGAAAUUGGGCUCAGGCUCUUUCUUCUUUUCUUUUUCAUCCUUCUUUUCAGUCUCAUCCACUUCCAUCUUUUCUUCUUCCUUCUUCUCUUUCUCCUUCUCCUUUUCCUUCUUCUUGGCUUUUGCAGUGAUGGACAGCACAGCAGUGGAAACCUUUUCUUUCUCCUUUUCCUUUGGUACCUCCAGAGGUGGGGGGUAGGCAAACGUGGACGGCUUACAGUUGGAUUUGUAUUGGACUUUUGGCAUCUUAAGAUCCUUGUUAAGGCCAAUGACACAUGUUGGGGUGAAAGCCAGUGACAAGAAGUGACUCAGGGGGAACCAGAACCAGAACUGGGUGAAGACCAGAACUCCCACCACAGAAGGCAUGUGAGUGUGUCCUGUCCUUGACUGCAGCGAAAUAGUCACAUUAUGUCCCCCUGCAUCCAAAAUGCCUUGUGCCAGGAUCGCUCCAAACUUGGCCAUAACAUCAUCGUGUUUAUCAUUGAUCACUUUGGAAUAGAGUUGUCUGAACUGGCUGACCUUUGGGCAGGUAAUCUCAGUCUGCUGGAUCAUGAUAAGGGCAGAUGCAAUCAGAGCUCCUUGACGUACAUAGUUCACAGGAUCAUUUGUCAUUGGUUCAAGCAAAUUAAUUGCUUCC